rnacentral:lncRNA from 1 species
CUGUUGUCAGACCCCAAACAAUCUCCUUCAGCUGAUCAUGUCCUGCUGAUGAAAAGCAACUGCUGACUAAAAUCCUUCCCUGUGCAUCUCCAGAGUCUUCCUGUGACCUCGGGGAGUGGGUCUGGGCCUGGAACGGCCCUGUGGAAUGUCAGAGAAGACACCUUGUUUCUUUGCUCUGCUAUACAGAAUGCAGGUAACCAGAAAAGGUCCAGCACACCAUUAAAUUUGCAUUA